GUGCGCGGGAGCGGCCGUUGGGAGCCGGCGGUUGCAGGCACGGCUCUCCUUAGCGAAGCGCCGCUCCCGGCAGCCCGGGCCGCCCCGCAGGAAAGCGCGGCGGCAACCGGAGCUGUCCGGGCAGCACCGGGCGGGAAGCCGCGGCUCAACGGGAGCGAGUGCCGAGGACAGCUCCGCCGGAGCAGUAGAGUGUUUCAGAAGAGAGAAAAAGAUGGUGGCCAUGAACUGGCUUUCUGUGGCUGGUAAAGCUGUGCUGAGAACUGGGCUGACUAUUGCAACUGAAAAUGCGUGCCAAGUCUGCAGACGCAGAGGAAUAACUAUUCCGUGUUGGUUGAGCUUGUCUAAGCACGGAGAGAUUUCAGAUGCUGUUUGGUAAUGGAAGAUGGAGAGAGGAAAAGCAAGGAAAAGGCAGGCUGUGCAUAGCCAGCGCAUCCCAUCUGUACCGCUGUCCCCCUGCACAAAGGAGAGGAGCAUCUCAGCAAGCUUGGCCUGGGCCAUGGAAGGGAUCAUACAAACAUCUGGACCAACGUGACAGGAGUUAGUUCUGCAGCUGUCGCAACGCUUUGAUCCCCUGCUGCUGGGCUGGGGCGUUUGAGGAAUGAUGCAUGUGCUGAUGUCCACCAGGCUUUGGGGAUGAGUCUGCGUAGCAGGGUAUGUGUGGCAGGACUGAGGCUUGGGGAGCAGGCCAGGUGGAAUCCAGUGUGCUUUGCUGUCGUUCUCAGUGCUUGUUUUUGCUCAGGAGGGCAGGUGGUGAAGCUCAUGAAGCAAUGCCUGCAGAUGGGGUUUGCAGAGCAAGAGGUCCGUCCUGCAGGCCUUGUGUGACACGCAUGGAGCUGUAGCGAGGCUGCAUCAGUGUAAAACAGCAGAAAUGCACGGAGGUGUGAAGGAAUCUCUGUGUGUUUUUUAGUGAAGAACAAACUCUGUGUUCAGUUGUGAAUGAAUGAAUUCAGGCCUGCUAGUUGGUGUUCUUCUCUACACGGAGCCGCAAUUGAAAUGGACGCUCCUGGUGUGAUGUGCGGCCCCGCCCCGUGUUCUCAGAUCCGCCAAGUUGGCAAGGCCUGGCUCUUGGUUGGUGAGCUGUGCCCAGGGUGAGAGACUUGACUCUUGUGGGCUUUGAGACAUGUCUUCGAGUUGCACGUUGUGUUAUUUCUGUUGGGUUGACCUCUUGAGCUCCAGCCCUAAGCGAGGAUCCAAGCAGUAGCGCAGAAGGAAUGGUUUAGACUGGAAGUGCAAUGCCAAGGGCUGGAGCCAGCCGGAGCUGGGAAGUGAUCAUCUCCCCGUACUCAGCACUGGUGAGUCCUCACCUUGAGUAGUGUGUUUGGUUCUGGGCCCCUCACUACAAGGGGGCCCCUGAAAGCCUGAAGUGUGUCCAGAGAAGAGCAAUGAAGCUGUGAGGGUUGUAGAGCACAAGUCUGAUGGGGAGCGGCUGAGGGAAGUGGGAUUCGUUAGUGUGGAGAAGAGGAGGCUGAGGGAAGACCACCUCACUCUGUCCAAUGACGUGACGAGUGGUUAUGUGGAGGUGGGGGUGGUCCUCUUCUCGCAUGGAACUAGUGCUAGAACUAGAGGGAAUGGCCUCGAGUUACAUGAGGGGAGAUUGAGGUUGGAUGUGAAGAAAAGCUUCUCCCAGUGAGCGGUCAGACGCUGGAAGGGGCUGCCCAGGGAGGUGAUAGAGCUACUGUCCCUGUGGGUGUUCAAGGAACAUUGGAUGUUGUAGUGAGGGACGUGUCUUAGUGGGAAGGAAAUAUUGGUGGUAGGUGAGUGGU